CCGUAGCCAAAGAGAUCGGGAUAACACCUGGAAACAGAUGCUAAUACCGGAUAACAACAGAUGAUGCCUAUCAACUGUUUAAAAGAUGGUUCUGCUAUCACUCUUGGAUGGACCUGCGGUGCAUUAGCUAGUUGGUAGGGUAACGGCCUACCAAGGCGAUGAUGCAUAGCCGAGUUGAGAGACUGAUCGGCCACAUUGGGACUGAGACACAGCCCAAACUCCUACGGGAGGCAGCAGCC
rnacentral:rRNA from 1 species